UACGUAGGGGGCAAGCGUUGUCCGGAUUUAUUGGGCGUAAAGAGCGUGUAGGCGGUUUGGUAGGUCCGCUGUGAAAACUCGAGGCUCAACCUCGAGACGCCGGUGGAAACCAUCAGACUAGAGUCCGGAAGAGGAGAGUGGAAUUCCUGGUGUAGCGGUGAAAUGCGCAGAUAUCAGGAAGAACACCCGUGGCGAAGGCGGCUCUCUGGUACGUGACUGACGCUGAGACGCGAAAGCGUGGGGAGCAAACAGG
rnacentral:rRNA from 1 species